CCGCGCUAGGUGGGGAGCUAGCGGUUCCCUGAACCCGCAAGCCGCUAUAGCGGGGCUGAAGUCCCUCCCGAGGGGGUGGCUUCGAGGUAGGGCUAACGCACGCGAGUGUUGACGGCCAGGUCCCGCGCACCGAGACCCUGCGAACCGCGUCAGGUCCGGGAGGAAGCAGCGCUAAGCGGAGCGUCUCGGGGGCCGCGGAGAAGCCUGACCCGAGCAAGCGGCGGAGGCACCGCCUCGAAAGCGUUCUCGACGGCGGGUGUGCGG
rnacentral:SRP_RNA from 1 species